rnacentral:misc_RNA from 1 species
GGCCUAAAAGUCAUAGCGGAACCAUGGCUAGUUGAACUGCACAACCUAAUGAUCUUUUAUUAAAAUUACAUGGAAUGUGAAGAGCAUUCCAACACCUGACGAAGAGUAACAAAAACUCCACCUCAGCUCAAUGACGGAGCUAGAUGGAGGAAAGGGGGUCAAACAGAAUCCCUUUAUUUUAAAAUUACACCCUGCAACUAUGACAAAACAAUUCUUUUUGCUACAUGUUAACUGUUGAAACCCCUUGACAUAAGGGGGAGAUUUUAGUGAAGCGGCCAACGAGGUUCAAAAAUUGUUUUAGAUCACGAACGAAAAUCCCAAGUGUAAUUUCUAGUAUGUAUUUGAAUCUCCGUAUAUAAAUUCCUGGCUCCAUAUUGGCCAAGCUUGAUGAAUUGUUU